UUUCCUCUGGGCCCCGAGUGUUCCGGGAGUCGCUAAACCCCGGAGGGGUGGCGGGGCGGGUGUGAUGACUGACAACUAGGACUGUGCGCCUGCGCAGAAUGUGCUUUGAGGGAAUGCAGUGGUGACUAACCAGGACUCAGCACUUGAACCCAGUGAGUCAGAUAGGGGUAAAUUUACCUGCCUAUCUGAACUCCAAUCUUCCAUUACUUCCAGCUACUUCAGUCUUGAGGGGGUGGAUUGUCGGAGUUUAACCCCGACAAAAAGUUCAGCUGUUUAGUUCACUGUGAGACCUAUUUUUCUUCCUCCUUCCCCCACCCCCAAAGUCCACAAUUAUAGACAGAGAUUGAAAAAUAACCUUGAGUCUCUCCUUCCCUCUGAUUCCAGAAAGCUUCUAGAAGAUGUGCUCCCACAAAAUAUGAGAGUAAAACAAAAAAAGAAAAUGACAUAGGAUCCAGAACACAAGAACAGAAGAAUAUGAAGGGAAAUAUUGGGAUGAAAGAGUUGUGCUAAGUACUUCAACAAUCUUGCGAAAAAUGUUUAUCUGAAUACAAAAUUGCAGAACAGGAGAUGAAUGGGUGGACAAUAGGAACUUUCUAAGCCCUCAUUCUUUCAGGAAGAAAUGUGAAAGAUGAUGAAGCUGUUGAGAGAGAUAACUGGAGACUGCUGUACUGAAACACAGUUGAGAAACAGGUCAGCUCUUCUGGGGAAAGUACCAAAAAGCCUCCUGGAGGAAGUGACAUUUGGAUUGGAUUUUAGAAGAUCUUCACACCUAUGGUUCCUUCUCACCACUGUCUCUGCAAAGAAAUUUCCCAUGACACCUACUCUUGUCCUCUGUGAAGUUGCACUGUACUUCAGCUGUUUUUUUCACUUAUCAUUAUAUGAAAUGAUCUAGAACAUAAGCUCCAUGAGAACAAGGAUGUAGCCUGUUUAUCACCCAUUAUCACCUGUACCAACCAGCACUUGGAACUUAGCAGGGGCUUUAUUAAUAU